UGCCCCUCUUUAAGUAGUUAAUGGAAUAAAUAUUACUACUAAGUAUUUCCUGGCUUUUCCUUCCUCUGCCUGCUAAGAGGGUUCUGCUUGGGCCUGUUGAUUGCUUCCCCUUUUUUUCCUCCCUGAAGAAAGUCCUUCCUGGCCAGAUUCCGUGGACCUCAGUGGCAAUUCAAGAGUAAAUGAAUCAUCGGUGGUGGCUUUGGAAACUUCAGGUGCCUGGGCUCCACUCUGGAUACUCUGAAAAGCUUCACAUGUGAGUGAUUCUGCUGGGCCUUCAGGAUUGGGAAGCCCUGGGCAGCAGCAUGAGACUGGAAAGGUCAACCGUUCUGUGAAUUGAGAAGAAUGUGUGAACAAUGUGUCAACAUAUAAGACAGGAUCACAAUGGAACGUAUCAUCUUGGGUUUCAAGCAAAAGCAAUCCAUGAGUUAAAUUUGGGGGAAUAGAAGUAACAUAACUUUUUAUAGGUGCUUGAAACUAUUUGAAGAAAGUGUUUGGAAAAAAGCAAAAUGAUGGAAAAAAAUAUGAGGAAAAAAAUAGUGAUACCUCAUAUCUAAUGCAGUGGACGGUCUCUUACCUGACUUCUCUUUAACCAAUUAAGUUGUUUAACUGACAAGCGUCUCUUUUUCUAUAAAACAUAUUAUAUUGGCUGAGGCGCACAAGUGCACUACUUAUUUAUCUCAUGACUAAUCAGGUUCCUAAAAGUUAUGCACCCAUCAGCUGAGUCAUAUACUUACCAGGGGUCACAAGUGUUGGUUCCCAAGCCUGUUUAUGCCUGCUGGACUUGUUAUUGUAAUUCUAUAACUUGUUAUUAUAAUUAUAUAACUAAGUAACUGAUGAAAUGUAAGUGUGAAAAAAACUUGCUUCUAUGAAAAAUCAGUUUAAUGCUUGGAAUCAAUAAAGCCAAGUUGUCAAAACA